UUUUUAUAUCGUCAUCCGAUAUAUAUCGUUAUAUAUCGAACAGCCCUACUGUAUUGUUAUAUAAUUAUCAAUGUGUGGGCAAUGGUAUCAUAUCAUAUGCUGAACUGCUCUCACUUUAGACAGAAAAUGAGUCUAAAGUGGAUCUGAAAUACAGUUUAUUGUGUUCGAAAUUUCUUUAUCAAAGCAAACCACUGUCUUUCCCUCUAGUUGGCCAGAUGUUGCCAGUGUAUAAACCUAACCAUAAAAAAUGCAAUUUCAGUCCAGUAACUACAAGUUAAGGAUGCUGCCAGCAUUUUUUACUUAACAAGUAUGUAAAUUAUUGAAUCCACAUUAAGCUAAAACACGAGACAAUCUGUUGUGCAAGUGUUGGUGGUCACUGGUAGCAUGGCAACUCUCACAAUGACACUGGCAUUGAAUGUGGUGAGCUGCACAAGUUACUGAAUCUUUAAAUUUUAGUACAACCAGACGCACAUACAUUUUUUCCUUCAAAUGUUAGUGAAAACGUAUUUUCUGCUGAGUGUGCUCAUUUAUUCUUUUCCUUUUAGAAAAUAGAGCUAUCCAUCCAUUUUCUCUGGCCGUGAUCUGAGAGGCAAUAAUUUAUACAUAAUUCAUGCUGAAGGAUAGAUAUUAUAGGUGUGCCCAAUAAAUGAAAAUUCUCAGAUACAUGUUUCAUAGUAAACAUAAAAUGCAUUGAUGAUAACUGUUAUAAAUGUGUACCCGAGAUGGCGUACCAAGCCCUAAGUAUGAUGGAAGCAGGAGUGCUGAUCGCGAGAGCAGCUGACCUGAAAGAUAGGAUCAUGGCAAAGCUGGAAACCUGGAUCCUCCGUAACUGGUUACCAAGACUGCAUGAAGUACCCUCUGAAAGUCUACUAGAAGAUGGGACUGCAGCAUUACGGACAAUCCCUACUCCAACCAUUACUGAAACCAACCAGCUGAUCUAGACCACGGCAGUAGUGGUCACUGAGAUGCUUGGCUACAAGAUGAACAGGCACACGGAGCAGUAACCUCCAUGGAGAAGGAGAUUAGAGGCUGAGGUCAAGGUAGCACAGAGGAAACUUAAUCAAAAAUUGGAGCUGCAGAAAGGUGCAAUAAAGAAGGUGCCUAAGAAAUACAGCAAGGUGCCCAUACCUGAGCCUUGGAAACUGCCAAGCAAAGACUCACAGCCUUGGCCAGUUGAUUGAAGAGGUACAUCAGAGAGAUAGAAGGUAGAAGAAAAAACCAGCACUUCAUCACAGAACCUUCUAACAUUCUUCUUCUGGACAGCACCAUCCCCAACAUGUUUCACGCCUACUGGUUGAAGAAGCUGAUUGCACUCUAUAAGCGUUUGGCAGCUCAAAUGAACUAGCUGCUAGUCAACAAGAGACACCCAGAAUGCCUGACUGAAGCCUGGAUAGUCCUGAUCCUCAAGGAACUCCAGAAGGGACCAGUCCCAUCCAACUACCAGUACUACAUGGAAGCUCCUUUCAGGUAUCAUAGCGGCUAAGAUGAACAGGCACAUAAGCGGGGCACAGAACGGAAUUCGCAACAAUACUAGAAGUGCAAAACACCAGUUCCUGGUAGACAGACCAGUUGCCCAAGACUGCAAGACCAGACUGACCUACCACAGCACCACCUAGAUUGACUACAAGAAAGCCAAUGACUCAAUGCCCCACACAUGGAUUCUGGAAUGCCUAGAACUAUACAAGAUCAACAGGACCCUAAGAGCCUUUGUAACCCACAUCAGAUUUGUGGGUUGUGCUGCUCCAUAAGGUUGGAGGUGUAAUUUUCCCACCCCGCCGCUAGGAGGCGAGUAUGCCUUGAGAUGACUUUCUGUUAGUCAACAUUUCCUGUUGUGGAAGCCGUUACUCACGAGGCAACCGCCAAAUUAGCUGAAAGAUCCUGGAUCUGAGAUCUGUGAAAUACGGCCGUGGGAAGCUGCGUCAGCUGGACGAGCUAUCUCACCACGAGCUCCGGUAAGGGAUGCUACAUGAAUGUUAGCACCAUAAAGACAUGUAGUUGACUGCUGUUAAUAUAUUUUCUGCUUUAAAAAACAAAACCAAUCGGAGUUGUGAUAUUUAUGUUUAAAGUACUGUAACAUCACUGAUGUGCAGAUGUUUAAUUUUAAGUGCUAAAGUUAAAAGCAAGCUGUUAAAAGGAUAAAUAUGGGAGAGUGAAUCUUAUAAGUUUAUUUAUUCCCAAAAGGGUAAAUAUAAGGUAUAUUUUCUGUUGCACUAAGACCUUGUGUGAUGUAACUCAAGUUAUUUCAUGAUGGUUGAGCCAUUGUAUAACUAAAAUAAUUUGCUAUACUUGAGCAAUACUUGACUGAAAGAUGAGUGAUGGAAAAAGCAUAGAUAAAAUAGUAAUGUAUGCACUCUGCACUGUGUGCAUAGAUUGGUUUUUGACCAGGACGGGAUCAUUUGAGAUCUGAACCCUGUGGGUUCAGUGGCGAGCCAAUCCCAAGAGAGUGACUGUCGACGGACCCGAGUGCGGUGUGGCCAGCCGUGGGAUCCAUCUUCAGCGAACCUCAGGACUAUUACUACCUUCCUUGAUACAGAUAAGACUAACACUUUAAAAAUCUACCCGGGUAGUGUUAGAACCAAUGGACAGAAACACACACACACACAAGGAACUCUAAUUUCUCUUUCCAAAGAGAAGUGGACUGAGCAAUAGGAGCGGAAGCUCUUUAAUUGAAACUCUUUGGAGAAUUUCCUUAAAGAGGAUGUUGUUUUGAUUUUAUUUUUGAGCCCUUUAAUGUGCGUUUGUGCACUGUAGGAAGCCGGCUUUAGACAGGCAGGGUUUGUAAACUUUACAACUUUCAAUACAGUUUCUAUUUAAAUCACA